UACGUAGGGGGCAAGCGUUGUCCGGAAUCAUUGGGCGUAAAGAGCGUGUAGGCGGCCCGAUAAGUCCGCCGUGAAAGUCCAGGGCUCAACCCUGGGAUGCCGGUGGAAACUGUCGGGCUAGAGUCCGGAAGAGGCGAGUGGAAUUCCUGGUGUAGCGGUGAAAUGCGCAGAUAUCAGGAGGAACACCAGCGGCGAAGGCGGCGCUCUGGGCCGGAACUGACGCUGAGGAGCGAAAGCGUGGGGAGCAAACAGG
rnacentral:rRNA from 1 species